GAUGAACGCUGACAGAAUGCUUAACACAUGCAAGUCUACUUGAUUCUACUUCGGUAGUUGAUGGUGGCGGACGGGUGAGUAACGCGUAAAGAAUCUGCCCUUUAGUUUGGGAUAACCUUUGGAAACGGAGGCUAAUACCGGAUAUUAUGGAGACGUCGCAUGACGACUUCAUGAAAGCUAUAUGCGCUAGAGGAGGACUUUGCGUCCCAUUAGUUAGUUGGUGAGGUAAUGGCUCACCAAGACCGCGAUGGGUAGCCGGCCCGAGAGGGUGAUCGGCCACAAGGGAACUGAGACACGGUCCUUACUCCUACGGGAGGCAGCAGUGGGGAAUAUUGGACAAUGGGCCACAAGCCUGAUCCAGCAAUUCUGUGUGCACGAUGAAGGUCUUCGGAUUGUAAAGUGCUUUCAGUAGGGAAGAAAAAAAUGACGGUACCUACAGAAGAAGCGACGGCUAAAUAUGUGCCAGCAGCCGCCGUAAGAC
rnacentral:rRNA from 1 species